AUUUGUGGAACGAGCGGCGGACGGGUGAGUAACACGUGGGCAACCUGCCUGUAAGACUGGGAUAACUCGCGGAAACGUGAGCUAAUACCGGAUAAUACCUUUUAUCUCAUGAUGAGAGGUUGAAAGGCGGCUUUUAGCUGUCACUUACAGAUGGGCCCGCGGCGCAUUAGCUAGUUGGUGAGGUAACGGCUCACCAAGGCAACGAUGCGUAGCCGACCUGAGAGGGUGAUCGGCCACACUGGGACUGAGACACGGCCCAGACUCCUACGGGAGGCAGCAGUAGGGAAUCUUCCGCAAUGGACGAAAGUCUGACGGAGCAACGCCGCGUGAGUGAUGAAGGUUUUCGGAUCGUAAAACUCUGUUGUUAGGGAAGAACAAGUAUGAUAGUAACUGAUCGUACCUUGACGGUACCUAACCAGAAAGCCCCGGCUAACUACGUGCCAGCAGCCGCGGUAAUACGUAGGGGGCAAGCGUUGUCCGGAAUUAUUGGGCGUAAAGCGCGCGUAGGCGGUCCUUUAAGUCUGAUGUGAAAGCCCACGGCUUAACCGUGGAGGGUCAUUGGAAACUGGAGGACUUGAGUGCAGAAGAGGAGAGUGGAAUUCCACGUGUAGCGGUGAAAUGCGUAGAGAUGUGGAGGAACACCAGUGGCGAAGGCGACUCUCUGGUCUGUAACUGACGCUGAGGUGCGAAAGCGUGGGUAGCGAACAGGAUUAGAUACCCUGGUAGUCCACGCCGUAAACGAUGAGUGCUAGGUGUUAGGGGGUUUCCGCCCCUUAGUGCUGAAGUUAACGC
rnacentral:rRNA from 1 species